rnacentral:lncRNA from 1 species
AAAAAACCUAAUAUCUAUAAAAAUCAACAGGGGUAUAAAUUAACCUAACCUUAACCUAACCCCCUUCACAAAAAGUCAUCGCCCAAAGAAUACUUUUCUCAUUCUUCCUUUCCAUUUCAUCUGCUUUGCGCCUCAUCUCCAUCUCAUUCUUCCUUUCCCACACCAUCUAGCUGAACACAAAUCCACCUCUCUAUCUCCC